CACUUUUCCACAGUUUUACAGAACAUUUUUGAAAAUGGUGGACAUAUUAAACAACAACUUCGGAGAAGUACGACUUCCUGAUCCACAUGCAUUCUUUGCAGAUACGCCCAACUUCGUGCCUCGAACUGAUGGUGACCUGAAUGAUUCUAUGGCUGCAGCUUUUCCUGGCCCUCUUAUGAGCAAUACAAUGCAGAAAGAGGACCUGAUUCAGUUCAUUCAAUGAAAAAGCUGACAACAAGGAGCCUUAAUUAUUUUGGCAGAUGAUGGACUUGUUCUGCCUUCACAGUGGAGUAAGUGUGUGUCUCAAAUCUCUGGAGGCGGAAGGAGUAGAAUUGCAAUUGCACGGAAAUGGAUAUUCAAAAACCUCCUGGAUCAGGUUAGCAAAAUAAUCCGCAGAGGACUUUACUUACUAUCCCAUACGCCACGUAGACUUCGGGUUGAUGCGAAAAAUAGUUGUCGCAUUGCCGAAGGAAGCCGCAACAGCGGUUAGCAGAGCCAUCUAAUUUUUCCGGGAGGGCCAUUUGGGGAAUUUUCCCGCACGUUGUAUGUGCGGAAGCCGCGGGUUAUACGGUGGGAGCAGGUGCGGCUUGAAGCUGCUGAUUAGCGUUUUGCAGGGCUUUGACUCACUGCACUGUUAUCGCCUGUAAAUCUGCUGGAUUCGUGGGUGGCAAAGUAUACUGUCUCAAAUCGCCGGAGGCGGAAGGAGUAGAAUCAAUUAUGCAGAUUUAUUAAGAUCAAAAACAGCAGGCAAAAACGUAAUCAAGGACGUAGCAAAGAUCAACACCAGAAAAACAGUAGAACGGCAAACAAACCCAAAUCACUAGGCAAAAACAGAUGUCGAGAAGCAAAGCUAAGGUCAUUCACAAAUAUGCAAAUCAAGGGCAAUAGUAAACAGCUAUGUACGUACACAGAGUAAACAAUACUUCGCAGAGAACAGAGAGUGUGUGCCUCGUUUAUGUCCGUGGGGAAACCAUAAUCCUAAUGUUUAAAACUCGGGAGAGGGCUCCCUCUGGUGUUUGACCUCCAGCUGAGCCGUGACAGAGCCCCCCCUCUAGGAACACCUCCAGGUGUUUGAGAACACAGCCGGCCAUGUGGACGGGAAGCAGGCUUGUCUGGGUGAGAGUGGUGAAAUUCCCCUGUCAGAGAGGGGUCUAGGAUAUCAAGAGUGUGUGAACUUGGUACACAGGUGACCCAUCUAUAUCCAACAGAGGGGGAGGUUCGAGCAUAUGUGGGUCAGCGGGGUGGGAUUGAUGUGCCGGCUUGAGUAGGGAGACAUGAAACAUGGGAGAGAUUCUGUAUGAGGAGGGGAGUUGGAGACAGUAGGCAACAGGAUUGAUGCGACGAAUUAUCUUAAAGGGACUGAUGAAUCUGGGGCUGAGUUUACGACAUGGGAGUCUCAGUUUCAGGUUUUUUGGGGAUAGCCAGUCCAGUUGUCCUACCCGGUAGGUGGGAUGCGGACGUUGGCGAUGGUUCGCUUUGAUGGUCUUCUUACAGCCCUUUGCAGACAUACAGGAGCCCAUUCCCAGGUUUCUUGACAGCGGCGAUGUCCAUAGUCUCGUCAGACCAUGGGAAGAGUGGUGGUUGGAACCCCAGAACACAUUAAAAAGGUGUAAGACCUGUGGACAAGUGUGUGAGUGAAUUCUGUGCAUAUUCAGCCCAGGGAAGGAACUCACUCCAGAGAUGUUGUUCCUUGCUUCAAUAGGCAUGAAUAAAUCUACCAAUGUCUAGGUUCAAUCGCUCAGUCUAUCCAUUUGAUUGGGGGUGGUAGCUAGAGCUUAGACUUACGUUUACCCCCAGUCAAGUGCAAAAGGCUCCCCAAACCUGGGAUGUCAAUUGCGUGCUGUAGUCUGAAACUAUAGUCCUCUUGCCUGUCUCCAUGGCCAUGGGGAGCCCCUUCUGAGGGAUAAGCUUGCACGUCUUGGAGAAUGGUAACCUCAGAAUGGUAACCUGGUAAUCUGGUACCCUGAAUUCGGUAAAUCUGUCAUGACGUCGAUGGAGAUUGGACUGCACAGAUUGUACAGGCUUUUACGAAGUUCUCCACAUCGUGGUCCAGUGAAGGCCACCAGAAAUGUUGCCGUAUGAGCUGCACUGUGUGUUGAAUACCAGGGUGUCCAGAACUGAGGGCUUUGUGGAUCCAUAAGGCAUGACUGUGUACUCAUAGUGUCCACUGGUAAUGUGAAAUGCUGUUUUCCAUUCAUCUCCCUGUUUAAUCCUAAUCAGUUUGUACACACUCUGUAAGUCAAGUUUGGUAAAGAUUUUAGCCCCUCGUAGCUGUUCUAAGGCGGCUGGGACUAGGGGUAGCGGGUAUGGAUACUGAACUGUGAUGGCAUUGAAGCCCCUGUAAUCAAUGCAGGGACGAAGUCGACCAUCCUUCUUUCAAAGAAGAAUCCAGCCGCCGCAGG